GCCUGGGUGGCGGAAUUGGUAGACGCUGUGGACUUAAAAUCCACUGGGUGGGAACACUCGUGUCGGUUCGAGUCCGACCCUAGGCACCA
rnacentral:tRNA from 1 species